rnacentral:rRNA from 1 species
GACGAACGCUGGCGGCGUGCUUAACACAUGCAAGUCGAGCGGAAAGGCCACUUCGGUGGCACUCGAGCGGCGAACGGGUGAGUAACACGUGAGUAAUCUGCCCUUCACUCUGGGAUAGCCACCGGAAACGGUGAUUAAUACCGGAUACGACCACUCCACGCAUGUGGUGGUGGUGGAAACUUUUUGGGUGGGGGAUGUGCUCGCGGCCUAUCAGCUUGUUGGUGGGGUAAUGGCCUACCAAGGCUUCGACGGGUAGCCGGCCUUAGAGGGUGAUCGGCCACACUGGGACUGAGACACGGCCCAGACUCCUACGGGAGGCAGCAGUGGGGAAUAUUGGACAAUGGGCGAAAGCCUGAUCCAGCAGCGCGGCGUGAGGGAUGCCGGCCUUCGGGUUGUAAACCUCUUUCAGCACCGACGAAGCGCAAGUGACGGUAGGUGCAGAAGAAGGACCGGCCAACUACGUGCCAGCAGCCGCCGUAA